GAGUUUGAUCCUGGCUCAGGAUGAACGCUAGCGGCAGGCUUAAUACAUGCAAGUCGUGGGGCAGCGCAGUGUAGCAAUACAUGGGCGGCGACCGGCAAACGGGUGCGGAACACGUACGCAACCUUCCUUCAAGUGGGGAAUAGCCCAGGGAAACUUGGAUUAAUACCCCGUAAUAUUAUGAGGCGGCAUCACCUUAUAAUUAUAGCUCCGGCGCUUGAAGAUGGGCGUGCGCCUGAUUAGGUAGUUGGCGGGGUAACGGCCCACCAAGCCUUCGAUCAGUAACUGGUGUGAGAGCACGACCAGUCACACGGGCACUGAGACACGGGCCCGACUCCUACGGGAGGCAGCAGUAAGGAAUAUUGGUCAAUGGACGCAAGUCUGAACCAGCCAUGCCGCGUGGAGGAUGAAGGUCCUCUGGAUUGUAAACUUCUUUUAUUUGGGAAGAAAUCCAUCUUUUCUAAGGUGGUUGACGGUACCAGAUGAAUAAGCACCGGCUAACUCCGUGCCAGCAGCCGCA
rnacentral:rRNA from 1 species